CUUUACCUCUUCCUCUGGACUCUGUCAGCUCUUAGUUUGAUGAUGGAGAAGAGAAUCAGCCUUUUAACACAACCGUAAUGAGGAAAUUUGUUAAGUGACUACAGCCCUUUGUGCAUACCUUUCCCCAGAGAAGAGAAAAGUCCUGAAGGCACAGCUUCUCGCUAACCACGAGAAUCUCACAGGCCUGGGCAACGUUUUCUUCCUCUCUUCCUCAGAUCUAUGUCAUGUUGAUAGCUCAGCAUCUUGCCCUGAUGGCUCAGUAUCCUGCUCUAGGGACAGAGAACUGAGAAGCGGAAGAGAAGAGACACUUUACACAGAGGGUAGCAUGCAUCAUCUGUGGUCCAGGAAGAAUAGGAGUGAAUGGCUACAUU
rnacentral:lncRNA from 1 species